AACGGAAAGGCCCUUCGGGGUACUCGAGUGGCGAACGGGUGAGUAACACGUGGGUGAUCUGCCCUGCACUUUGGGAUAAGCCUGGGAAACUGGGUCUAAUACCGAAUACACCCUGCUGGCCGCAUGGUCUGGUGGGGGAAAGCUUUUGCGGUGUGGGAUGGGCCCGCGGCCUAUCAGCUUGUUGGUGGGGUGAUGGCCUACCAAGGCGACGACGGGUAGCCGGCCUGAGAGGGUGACCGGCCACACUGGGACUGAGAUACGGCCCAGACUCCUACGGGAGGCAGCAGUGGGGAAUAUUGCACAAUGGGCGCAAGCCUGAUGCAGCGACGCCGCGUGGGGGAUGACGGCCUUCGGGUUGUAAACCCCUUUCAGCACAGACGAAGCGCGAGUGACGGUAUGUGCAGAAGAAGGACCGGCCAACUACGUGCCAGCAGCCGCGGUAAUACGUAGGGUCCGAGCGUUGUCCGGAAUUACUGGGCGUAAAGAGCUCGUAGGUGGUUUGUCGCGUUGUUCGUGAAAACUCACAGCUCAACUGUGGGCGUGCGGGCGAUACGGGCAGACUGGAGUACUGCAGGGGAGACUGGAAUUCCUGGUGUAGCGGUGGAAUGCGCAGAUAUCAGGAGGAACACCGGUGGCGAAGGCGGGUCUCUGGGCAGUAACUGACGCUGAGGAGCGAAAGCGUGGGGAGCGAACAGGAUUAGAUACCCUGGUAGUCCACGCCGUAAACGGUGGG
rnacentral:rRNA from 1 species